rnacentral:rRNA from 1 species
AUUGGCCUACGGGGGGCAGCAGUAGGGAAUUUUCGUCAAUGGGGGAAACAAUGAACGAGCAAUGCCGCGUGAGUGAAGAAGGCCUUCGGGUCGUAAAGCUCUGUUGUAAGAGAAAAACGGUAAUGAUAGGAAAUGAUCAUUAAGUGAUGGUAUCUUACGAGGAAGCCACGGCUAACUACGUGCCAGCAGCCGCGGUAAUACGUAGGUGGCAAGCGUUAUCCGGAAUGAUUGGGCGUAAAGGGUGCGCAGGCGGAACCAUAAGUAUGAAGUACAAGCAAUCGGCUCAACCGAUGUAAGCUUUGGAA